rnacentral:rRNA from 1 species
GACGAACCGUGCGAACGUUGUUCGGAAUCACUGGGCUUAAAGGGCGCGUAGGCGGGCUAGCAAGUCAGGGGUGAAAUCCCACGGCUCAACCGUGGAAGUGCCUUUGAUACUGCCGGUCUGGAGGGAGGUAGGGGCGUGCGGAACUUCCGGUGGAGCGGUGAAAUGCGUAGAUAUCGGAAGGAACACCGGUGGCGAAAGCGGCGCGCUGGACCUCUACUGACGCUGAGGCGCGAAAGCCAGGGGAGCAAACGGG